GAGGAUGGUGUAUUCAUUGUUCAUUUGUGCACCCUCCUUUUCACACCUAUCCAAAUCUACUGCUCAUGAACCAGUUUGGCUUCAAAGACGUACAAAAAACAGUCAUUUCAUUUGUUGGAUAUUCGUUUCUCUGCGACUCUACCGCUCCACCCUAAUUGCUCUUUUUCUUUCGCGAUCGAACAAAGAAAUUCGAAAUAAUCUAAAGCAAUUGAUACAUAUACCUCUAAGGCCGAUGGAAUUAUGGGUCAGGGAGAGCAAAACCCAAUUGUAGUUUUGGAGGCGAAGUUAAAGGAACUGGAUACUAUUUUGGACGGUUUAGGAUUUAAAGGAAGCGAAGAUAAAGAAGCCAAGGAAAUGCAAAGAAGUUGAAAACAAGAAGACAACGAAGAAAGACUAUAAAAAAGCUAGAGAGGAAGAAGCUCCAGCUGGUUAUAUUCAUGUAAGAGUAAGGAGGGGCCAGGCAACAGAUAGUCCCAGCGUUGCAGAAAGGCGAGGAGGGAAAGAAUAAGUGAAAGAAUGAAGCUUCUCCAUGAUCAUGUUCCUGGUUGUGACAAGGUAACUGCGAAGGCCCUUAUGUUGGAUGAAAUAAUCAACCAUGUCCAGUCCUUGCAAAAUCAAGUCAAGUUUAUCUCGAUGAAACUCGCUUCGAAUAAUCCCAUGUUGUAUGACUUCGGAACGGAUUUUAGAACCAUUCAUGGUUAGACCUGAUUAGAAUUUAUGCAGCCCUACAGAGACACCAGCAAAUGACUAUCCUCUAUUGGACUCUUUUAAUAUGCUGUUGUUUGAACAUGACCAAAUGCUUAUUAUUUUCUCGCGAAGAAUGGAUAGUUUUUUUUUUUGGGAGUGGAAGAACUAAGACAAAAAGAUAUCAAUCACACAGGAAUCAGCUAUAAUUUGUGUUCAUAAAUUUAUCUGUCAUUGAAAUGGUGCAAAUAUGGAAGAGAUGGGUGAUUAUCUUCUUGAGAAAACGGCUCUCAGUGACGAUGAAGAAAGUGGUGUACUUUAUUUUUGAGGGUUUUAAUUAUAAAGUAGAUAUGUACAUAAGAAAUUCAAUCAUCAGUAUAAGGCUACAAUUGGAGCUGAUUUUGUCACCAAGGAGCUUCAAAUUGAUGUCUGACUCGUUACUCUUCAAAUAUAGGACACUGCUGGACACGAGAGAUUUCAAAGUCUCGGGGUCACAUUUUAUAAAGGAGCAGAUUGUUGUGUUUGGUGUACGAUAUUAAUGUAAUGAGGUCUUUUGAUACCCUAGACAAUUGGCAUGAAGAGUCUCUCAUAGAGGAAAAGCAAUGGCUUCUCCAGGGGAACUUCAAUUUAUAGAGGAGUUACAAGUAGACAUCAUCAACACGGAUGUUGGCAAGCUCAAUUGGCGAAGCUGCAGGAAACAAGGACCUCUAUUAAGGGACAUUUAGUACUCAAGAAGAAGCUGCUGAGGCGUAUGAUGUAGCAGCUAAAAAAUUUCAGGAGAUAGAUGCAGUAACCAACUUUGGAAUCUCAAGAUAUGAUGUAGAUCGGAUUAUGGCAAGCAGUUCCCUUCUUUCAAAGGAAAUGGCUAAACAAAACAAGGACAUGGAUUCAAGUAACAAGAUCUUUGAUAACAAUCCCUCGAACUAUAACCAUCAUUUGAAAGUUGCAAAUGCCUCAAAGGAGGACAAUAGCAAUGUGCCUAACUGGAAAAUGGCACUCUAUCAUAAAACUGGUGGAGUUGAUGACUUUAGAAAUGGAUCUUACUAUAUUGGUGUAAAUGGCAUGAUUGGGAUCGAGGCAAUGAACUAAACUGAGAAUAAUGUGGAUGAAUAGGGAAAAAUGGCGAGUCACUUUUCAAGUGCUUCUUCACUGGUGAAUGACUUGAGAGAAGGCAGCAGGAUAAAAGCAUUGAGGGAGAGGAUCAUCUUAUGAUCGCUAUAGUAGUUACAGCAGUGGAGGCUAUCGUGGUGGAUUUUCAAGGUAUUCUGACUAUAGAGACUUAAGGAUCACAUGCGUCAAGCCAGGGAUGUUUUCUUUUCUCAAGUUUGCCGCGAUCGAGAUGCUUGGAAGCCUCUUGUGCAUGGGUAGAGAAGAGAGGACU